GGCUGUUUUCUUGUCUUUUCUUUUUCUUUUUCUUGUUUUGAAACAUCAAUUCUUCUUUGAAAAAUUGGACAGGAAAAAAACUCAAUAACUUCAGAGUGAAAAAAUUCUUAGUUCUAUCUCUUUUACAUUUUUUUUAGUUGUAGAAUAGCCUAUGUCUCUACAAAACAGAUAAGACCAGUGAUAGAAGAGGAAUAUAAAGUGGAUAGCUACAAAAUUGCUCUAGACCUACUUAAGGUAUUUAUCAUGGUGGACCCAGUAUGCAGAGCUGGCCAGAAUGUGAUCCACCCAGGAAAGAUUGGUGCUUCACCCAGAGUAAGAACACCAUGUAGAAAGAAAUAGUUGACCAAGGGAAAAUGAAAUCUAUGGUAGCAAGUGCAGAAGUAACCCUUCCAUUUGCAAGGUCUGUGAUGCUCAGACACUGUUUCUACUGUGUCAGUAUCAGAGUGUUCCUUAACCAUGAUUCUUUCCUUAAAAAUGAGUACUGGGAAGUGGUUUCUGUCCCUUAAUGUCUAGAAGAUAGCCUAGGCUGCCCUCCACAUCAAAAGGCAACUGUAACAAUCCAUCAUUUUCAGCUUACAAUACAAUUCAGGCAAGAUAUUUUUCCUGAGGACUUUACUUUUAGAAUGCUAUGAUUAUUAACCUAUACAAUUUUAAGGGCAAGCUAAUAAGCUCUGCACACUUCCAUUUGUGCUUUCUCUGGAGCUGAAGAAGUGGAAGACUUAGACUAGGGAAUUUGAGACUUCUUGGUGCUUGGUUUCUUAAACUAUUCUUUUCGAAGAAGGGCAACAUUCGCUUCUCGCAGUAAAUGGAGCCUCUAUUUCAAACACUCUGGGUAGCAUGUAGGCUAUCAGUCAGACAGUGAGCAACACUCAGCUGCCUCCCUCACUCCUAAGAUGGAGCAAGGCCCAGUGACAAGCUUCCCCCACAGACAAGAUGCCUGUCAAGUUUGAUAAAAAGAACAGCCAAACAUCCACAAUUUUGUAGUUUCUUUCCUUCUUUUGGUUAUUUUUAGGAUGCCAGGAACUGAUUUCCUCUUCUGUGUUUUCUUCAUUUCUAUUCACAAGGCUGGUUUUACCAGCUGUCUUUUUAAACUUUAUUUUAUUUAUAUAUAGCUCUGGGAGGGAAUGACUCAAUAAAAUGACCAUCUUCCUCUAUGACUGGACUUCUGUCCAGAGAGCAAGAUGUAGAAUACACAGUCACACAAUGGUCAAUCAAUGACACGAAGAGUAGUUUGUAUGAAAUAGAAUUUAGCUUUGAAAAAUCUAAACAUUUCUUUCAGCAAUUGUGAUUGAAGGGGUCUAAACCAUUCACACAAAACCAGACAAUGUAUGUUAUCAGGUUUUGAUCUAGUAGACAGAAAUCUGCCUGUCCUGUAAUGUUUAGCUCAUCAGUAAGAUGGAUGUUUUUAUCCAGUGAGGAGUACAUGGUUUGAGGAACAGGCUCUAGGCAGGGUUUACUAACUACCAGAUCUUAUGAAAUUUUCUCUUAUUGGGCUUCUGUUAUUUCAUAAAGUUAUAUAGUCCGUAAAUUUUUUUAUUUUCUACCCAGUAUUCAUCUCAGCCACAGCUAGAGCUCUCUGGCAUCACUGACACCAUUAUAUUAGUGAAAUACAGUAUGGUCAGCCUGUAGAUUAGAAUUUUCUUGAGUUCAAGGCCAGCCUAGUCUACAAAGUGAGUUUCAGGACAGCCAUGGCUAUAUAAAGAAACCCUGUCUC
rnacentral:lncRNA from 1 species